UACGUAGGGGGCAAGCGUUGUCCGGAAUCAUUGGGCGUAAGGCGCGUGUAGGCGGCUCGGUAAGUCUGCUGUGAAAGUCCAGGGCUCAACCCUGGGAUGCCGGUGGAUACUGUCGAGCUCGAGUCCGGAAGAGGCGAGUGGAAUUCCUGGUGUAGCGGUGAAAUGCGCAGAUAUCAGGAGGAACACCAAUUGCGAAGGCAGCUCUCUGGACCAGCACUGACACUGAGGCACGAAAGCGUGGGGAGCAAACAGG
rnacentral:rRNA from 1 species